GCAUGGCUAAGUUGCUUGCCUCGGUUACAAAUCAAAUGAUUCUCACGCUUGGUAGGACUCCUCCUGGAACCGCCCCUCCCAUCCCCCGCGUCGCCCUCAACAGCGGCUCGGGCGGAACCACCGCCGCCGCUCUACAGCCCCCUCCCAUCCCCUCGCCGUCGCCGGAGCACCACGCGCGGAAGUCCGUGCUGUACCAUGACGGUGGCGGACAGAGAAGCGCGGGGCCUCCUCCUCCCGAGUCUCAACGGCGGCAGCCUUGGGCGACGACUGCAGCAAGUCAUGGUAGUGGGCAGCGGUCAGAUUUGCUUGCUUCCCCACCGGAUCCGGAGCUUCAGCUCUGCCGCAGCCCAAGACAUCUGCAGCAGCAGCAGCCGGCCUCGAUAAUGUGGUGAGAUUUCGAUGGUUUGGGUAUGGUCUUGCUGAGCGAAAGCACUGCAUGGCUCCAUGCCGGUGCCGACAGCGGUGACGUUCUUGCGCAUCAUCCCCUCCUUGGAGGCGCCGUUGUAGCAUCCCUGCCCAAAAUCAUUUUGGGGGCUUCGGGUGAAAACCCUUUUGUCUCCAGUUCGAGUGGUGGCGGCGUCUGUUUAACGUCGUUCCCUUUGUGAAGGCAUCAGACCCCCUCCAUACUCUCAUACUGCCAACUAAAAUUGCUCCACGUUCACUCUUGCUGGCUCUACUUGCAUAUGCUGCACUCUGCCUUGGUCAUCUGCUGAUGCCGUUGCUUCUUCAUUAUCCAUACCACUUGGUUAUGCCAUCUCAUCAUAUGCCGGGUUAACAAGACCAUGAUCCCCUCUCUCGGAUCUCCUCGUUCUCCUUUCGAUGAUCCUUCCUCCUUUGUGGCUUCUUUCCCUUGAAGGGCGUUGGAGGACAUUGUUAGGAACUUAGGAUCCCAGAAGCACCUACAAGAUGUCUUUGAUCACGUCUGUCAUCUGCCGUUAAGGCUCAGUGCAUAACAGUCGCUGGUGGUGUGGGAUCGUCGAAGUACAGUCACUUGGUAGUGCCACAAGUCAGGAUCUACAUGUGCCUUCUUCAAGAUUGUAGCAUGAUGUGGUGUGUGUUGUACCCUCUUUCUUCUUGCGUGUGUUGGGUGAGCUUUGAUUGUAAAACUGUUGAACCAUAUGGUUUAAUGAGCUUGCAAGAACCUCCGAUCAAUGAAAUUA